CAUGCAGUCGCACGAGAAAGUGGAGCAGUCCAUGAGUAAAGUGGCGCACGGGUGAGUAACACGUGAAUAAUCUACCUCCGAGUGGGGAAUAACUGAGAGAAAUCUUAGCUAAUACCGCAUAACACUUACGAGUCAAAGCAGCAAUGCGCUUGGAGAGGAGUUCGCGGCCGAUUAGUUAGUUGGUGGGGUAAUGGCCCACCAAGACGAUGAUCGGUAUCCGGCCUGAGAGGGCGCACGGACACACUGGAACUGAAACACGGUCCAGACUCCUACGGGAGGCAGCAGUGGGGAAUUUUGCGCAAUGGGGGAAACCCUGACGCAGCAACGCCGCGUGGAGGAUGAAGCCCCUUGGGGUGUAAACUCCUUUCGAUCGGGAAGAUAAUGACGGUACCGAUAUAAGAAGCCCCGGCUAACUUCGUGCCAGCAGCCGCGGUAAUACGAGGGGGGCAAGCGUUGUUCGGAAUUAUUGGGCGUAAAGGGUGCGUAGGCGGUUUGACAAGUCUGAUGUGAAAUCUAUGGGCUCAACCCAUAGUCUGCAUCGGAAACUGUCGGGCUUGAGUAUGGGAGAGGUGAGUGGAAUUUCCGGUGUAGCGGUGAAAUGCGUAGAUAUCGGAAGGAACACCUGUGGCGAAAGCGGCUCACUGGACCAUUACUGACGCUGAGGCACGAAAGCUAGGGGAGCAAACAGGAUUAGAUACCCUGGUAGUCCUAGCCCUAAACGAUGAUUGCUUGAUGUGGCAGGUACCCAAUCCUGCCGUGUCGAAGCUAACGCGAUAAGCAAUCCGCCUGGGGAGUACGGUCGCAAGGCU
rnacentral:rRNA from 1 species